rnacentral:rRNA from 1 species
CCUGCCCGGUGACUCACGUUAAACGGCCGCGGUACCCUAACCGUGCAAAGGUAGCGCAAUCAAUUGUCCCAUAAAUCGAGACUAGUAUGAAUGGCUAAACGAGGUCUUAACUGUCUCUUACAGGCAAUCGGUGAAAUUGAUCUCCCUGUACAAAAGCAGGGAUAAACACAUAAGACGAGAAGACCCUGUGGAACUUUAAAACCAGCAACCACCUUGAAUCACCUACACACCCACCGGGCCCACUGAUCUACCAAGCUCCUGGUUCGCGUUUUUCGGUUGGGGCGACCUUGGAGAAAAACAAAGCCUCCAAAAAUUAGACCACAACUCUAAACUGAGAGCAACCUCUCAACGUGCAAAUAGCACCCAGACCCAAUACAAUUGAUCAAUGGACCAAGCUACCCCAGGGAUAACAGCGCAAUCCCCUCCGAGAGUCCAUAUCGAAGAGGGGGUUUACGACCUCGAUGUUGGAUCAGGACAUCCUAGUGGUGCAGCCGCUACUAA